AUUGAACGCUGGCGGCAGGCCUAACACAUGCAAGUCGAGCGAGCGGCGGACGGGUGAGUAAUGUCUGGGAAACUGCCUGAUGGAGGGGGAUAACUACUGGAAACGGUAGCUAAUACCGCAUACCAUCAGAUGUGCCCAAAUGGGCUUAGCUAGUAGGGGGGGUAACGGCUCACCUAGGCGACGGACCCUAGCUGGUCUGAGAGGAUGACCAGCCACACUGGAACUGAGCCACGGUCCAGACUCCUACGGUAGGCAGCAGUGGGGAAUAGUGCACAAUGGGCGCAAGCCUGAUGCAGCGAUGCCGCGCGUGUGAAGAAGGCCUUCGGGUUGUAAAGAACUUUAAGCGGGGAGGCGUUACCCGCAGAAGAAGCACCGGCUAACUCCGUGCCAGCAGCCGCGGUAAUAC
rnacentral:rRNA from 1 species